UACGAAGGGGGCUAGCGUUGUUCGGAAUUACUGGGCGUAAAGCGCGCGCAGGCGGUCUUCCAAGUCAGUGGUGAAAGCCUGGAGCUCAACUCCAGAACUGCCAUUGAAACUGUUAGACUUGAGGACGAGAGAGGUGAGUGGAAUUCCCAGUGUAGAGGUGAAAUUCGUAGAUAUUGGGAAGAACACCGGUGGCGAAGGCGGCUCACUGGCUCGUUUCUGACGCUCAGGCGCGACAGCGUGGGGAUCAAACAGG
rnacentral:rRNA from 1 species